rnacentral:pre_miRNA from 1 species
GGGGGGGGGGGGGGAUUCCCUAGCCCAGAUUGCAAGAGGGUGCAGGCCAGGCCGAGGGACCCCACCUGUGCACA